AUCUGUGACCAUACCACCCUAAACAUACCCCAUCUUGUCUUGGAAGCUAAGUGGGGUCAAGCCUGGUUGGUACUUGGUUAGGAGAACUGCAUGCCAGCUGCCCCACACU
rnacentral:rRNA from 1 species